rnacentral:rRNA from 1 species
UGGGGAAUUUUGGACAAUGGGGGCAACCCUGAUCCAGCCAUGCCGCGUGAGUGAAGAAGGCCUUCGGGUUGUAAAGCUCUUUCGUCCCGGGAAGAAAUCGCGCCAGCUAAUAUCUGGUGUGGAUGACGGUACCGGAAGAAGAAGCACCGUCUAACUACGUGCCAGCAGCCGCGGUAAUACGUAGGGUGCGAGCGUUAAUCGGAAUUACUGGGCGUAAAGCGUGCGCAGGCGGCUCUAUAAGACAGAUGUGAAAUCCCCGGGCUUAACCUGGGAACUGCGUUUGUGACUGUAGGGCUUGAGUGCGGCAGAGGGGGGUGGAAUUCCACGUGUACAGUGAAAUGCGUAGAGAUGUGGAGGAACACCGAUGGCGAAGGCAGCCCCCUGGGUGACACUGACGCUCAUGCACGAAAGCGUGGGGAGCAAACAGGAUUAGAUACCCCUGGUAGUCCACGCCCUAAACGAUGCGAACUAGGUGUUGGGGAAGGAGACUUCUUUAGUACCGUACCUAACGCGUGAAGUUCGCCGCCUGGGGAGUACGGUCGCAAGAUUA